rnacentral:rRNA from 1 species
GGCCGUUCUUAGUUGGUGGAGUGAUUUGUCUGGUUAAUUCCGUUAACGAACGAGACCCCCGCCUGCUAAAUAGUGUGGCUUACGCUUUUGCGUAGGUACUCGCUUCUUAGAGGGACUUCUGGUGACUAACCAGAGGAAGUUGGGGGCAAUAACAGGUCUGUGAUGCCCUUAGAUGUCCUGGGCCGCACGCGCGCUACACUGAUGCAUGCAACGAGUUUUUUUUCCUGGGUCGAGAGGCCCGGGUAAUCUGUUGAACGUGCAUCGUGAUAGGGAUAGAUCAUUGCAAUUAUUGAUCUUGAACGAGGAAUUCCUAGUAAACGCGAGUCAUCAGCUCGCAUUGAUUACGUCCCUGCCCUUUGUACACACCGCCCGUCGCACCUACCGAUUGAAUCAUUCGGUGAGGAUUCCGGAUUCCGUUGCUUACGCUUCACGGCGUUUUUAGCGAAAGAAGUUAUCCAAACCUCAUGAUUUAGAGGAAGGUGAAGUCGUAACAAGGUUUCCGUAGGUGAACCUGCGGAAGGAUCA